rfam:Saccharothrix sp. ST-888 contig-74, whole genome shotgun sequence.
ACGAGAUGCCUUGCCGAUUGUGCGUGGUGGAGCCUAGAGAACUCCCAUCAUCGCAGGUCGCAAGGCAUCUCUUCGUUCUACGGGACCUCCCCGACAGCGAUCACACGGUGGAUCCGG